rnacentral:rRNA from 1 species
GACGAACGCUGGCGGCGUGCCUAACACAUGCAAGUCGAACGGUGAAUAGUGGUAGAUUGUUUAUACAGUCUACUGCUAGGAACAGUGGCGGACGGGUGAGUAACGCGUGGAUAACCUGCCUGUAAGACUGGGAUAACACCGGGAAACCGGUGCUAAUACCGGGCGUGCUGUAGAAUGGGCAUCCAUUUUACAGGAAAGGACUUUAAGUCUGCUUACAGAUGGGUCCGCGUCCCAUUAGCUAGCUGGUGGGGUAAAGGCCUACCAGGGCGACGAUGGGUAGCCGGCCUGAGAGGGUGGUCGGCCACACUGGGACUGAGACACGGCCCAGACUCCUACGGGAGGCAGCAGUGGGGAAUAUUGCGCAAUGGGCGGAAGCCUGACGCAGCGACGCCGCGUGGGUGACGAAGGCCUUCGGGUCGUAAAACCCUGUUGCAGGGGACGAAGGAAGUGACGGUACCCUGUGAGGAAGCCCCGGCUAACUACGUGCCAGCAGCCCGCGGUAAAACGUAGGGGGCGAGCCGUUGUCCGGAAUUACUGGGCGUAAAGAGCUCGUAGGCGGAGCUCAAGUCAGCUUGUGAAAACCGACGGCUUAACCCGGAGGAUUGGA